rnacentral:tRNA from 1 species
AGCUUUGUGGUGUUAACAUGUCAGAUUGCAAAUCUGAAGAUGCAGGCGAGAGCCUGCCGAAGCUU